rnacentral:lncRNA from 1 species
GAAAACUGGUACUUCGAGUUGCAGUACCUGGAAUUUGAAACUGAAUCUUCUCUGGAUGUGUUUAAACAAAUUUACAACUUGCAGUUUGGAGUGAGAAACUUCUGUUGUUAUACAAAAGAAAACUGGAAAACUUGAUGGAACUGGAGAUCAGAAUUUAGGAUGACAAGAACUUUGGAAGUUCCCAGGUUAUGUUGAGUCCUCUACACUUCUAGCUUACCUCUAGCUUCCAACUGCUUACAAAUAAAGUAUUUGCAAAAGAGGUGGAACCCA